GAGACCUCAGGUCAGGCGGGACUACCCGCUGAAUUUAAGCAUAUCAAUAAGCGGAGGAAAAGAAACUAAACAAGGAUUCCCU
rnacentral:rRNA from 1 species